rnacentral:rRNA from 1 species
AAUCAACGCUGGCGGCGUGCCUAACACAUGCAAGUCGAGCGAGAAAAGGGGGGCAACUCCCUGAGUACAGCGGCGCACGGGUGAGUAACACGUGGGUAAUCUGCCCUGGAGUGGGGAAUAACACCGGGAAACCGGUGCUAAUACCGCAUACGAUCACAGAAUCUGCGGAUUUUGUGAUGAGAGGAGCAAUUCGCUCCAGGAGGAGCCCGCGGCUGAUUAGCUAGUUGGUGAGGUAAUGGCUCACCAAGGCAACGAUCAGUAUCCGGUCUGAGAGGACGGUCGGACACACUGGAACUGAGACACGGUCCAGACUCCUACGGGAGGCAGCAGUGGGGAAUUUUUGGCAAUGGGGGAAACCCUGACCAAGCAACGCCGCGUGGGUGAUGAAGUCUCUUGGGACGUAAAACCCUUUCGACGGGGAAGAAAACCGCAAGGUUUGACGGUACCCGUAGAAGAAGCCCCGGCUAACUCCGUGCCAGCAGCCGCGGUAACAC